rnacentral:rRNA from 1 species
AUUUAAAUUAUUAAUUAUUUUGAUUUUAUUUAUUAUUUUUAUAAAAGUAAUUUAGAUAUUUUAUGUUUUAGUAUUAAGUUAAAAUAAAUUUUAAGAUUUAUAGUUUAAUAGUAUUGUAAAAGAAUUAAUUAAAUUAUUGAAAAGAAUGAUUUUAGUACCUUUUGUAUCAGGGUUAAUUAAAAUUUUUAAUUUAUAUUUUAAAUUCUCAAAAUUUAUAGAGUUAAUUUUAUUAUUAAGUUAUUGUAUUAUAAAUAUUUAAAAAAUAAUAUUAGUUUUGAUAUUUAAUUCGUUAUAUUAUAUUUAGUUACUUAAGAUUUAAAUUUAAUUUAAAAUUUUAAAAGUUAUUUUAAUUUUAAUAAUUAAUAUUUUAAAUUUAAAUUAUUUUAGGGAUAAGCUUAAAAUUUUUAUAUAAUUAAAUUUUAAAUUAAAUAAUUUUUAGGAAUAGAAAUUUUUAUUUUAAGUUUGUAAAAAUUUAUUAUUUAAUAAAUUUUAAUUUAUUAUAUUUAAUUUAUAUUUUAUAUUAAGUUUUAUUUAUUAAUAUUUAAUAAAUAGUAAUAAUGAUUAAAUUAGUAUAUUUUUAUUUUAUAAAUUAUGAACUAGGCAAAAUUUAUUUUCAUCUGUUUAACAAAAACAUUGUAUUAAGUUUAAUUUAAUAUAGGAUCUGCUCAAUGAAUUAAUUUUAAAUAGCUGCAGUAUUUUGACUGUGCAAAGGUAGCAUAAUAAUUAGUCUUUUAAUUAAAGACUUGAAUGAAAGAUUUGAUGAAAAAUAAGCUUUAUUAUUUAUAAUUUUAGAAUUUUAUUUUUAAGUAAAAAAAGCUUAAAUAAUUUAAAGGGACGAUAAGACCCUAUAAACUUUAUAAAUUUUUUUAUUUGGUUUUUUAAAUAAUAAAUAUAUAUAUAUAUAAUUAAAUUUAAAUAAUUAAUUUUAUUGGGGUGAUAAAAAAAAAAUAUUACUUUUUUUAAAAAUUAACAUUUAUUAGUGAAUUAUUGAUUUAAAUAUUUUAAUUAUAAGAAAAAGUUACUUUAGGGAUAACAGCGUAAUUAAGUUUUUAAGUUCAAAUUUGAAAUUUAGUUUGCGACCUCGAUGUUGAAUUAAGAUUAGGCUUAGGUGCAAAAUUUUAAGUUUUAGGUCUGUUCGACCCUUUAAAUUCUUACAUGAUUUGAGUUCAGACCGGUGUAAGCCAGGUCGGUUUCUAUCUUUUAAAUUUUAUUAUAUUUUAGUACGAAAGGAUUAAAUAUAAAAAUUAAAUUUUUUUUAAUUGAAUAAUAUUAAUUAC